UGGUGCAAUAAUAAUUUUAAUUGCAAUAAUAAUUUAGAUUGCAAAGCAAAGGUAUUUAGGUCUCUAUGACUAUAUCAUGAUACAAUUACGACCACAUUUGUCUGCAUGUCUUUGUGAUGUAAUCACAAUCGUGACUGCACCAUGUCUCUUCACAAUAUGUCGACAUUAAUUUCAUAAGGAAGAAAUAAUCUUGUGCUUCCUUUCCAAAGAGAAGAUUAUUCUUGUUAUAAAGUUUUCUCUUUUCACUGCAUAUGGGAUACUUGCAAUUUCCAUAUAGGAUUGAAGGAGUUCUUGCCUGAAGGUUUGAAAUAAGGCAUGCCAUGAUGUUUAUAAUCUCCUUUGAAAUGGUGAGAAGUAGUAAGUGUGUAGUAUUGAUGGAGAAAUGAGUUUGGAUAUUGGGCCUAAGCAGAAGACAUGGAGAGUAUACACAAGGAAACGUUGGAAGGGUGAGAAAAUGGGAGUACGUGGCUAAUUAAGCACGUGGAGGGAAGGGNNNNNNNNNNNNNGAGUUAAGCGUGCUCUUUUUAGUUAUAUAAGAAGUCAAUUGAGAAAAGAAUAAUUUAGCUAAGUUUUCUGUUUUGAGUCAGUAGGGUCACCAAUCAUUUGGUGAUUUGGAGGAGUCAUUGUACUCGUUAUAAGUUUUUCAUUCCUUAUUUCCAGCUUUUGUUUGUAUUCAAUAACAAAUCAAGUACAAUUAUAAUAUCACAA
rnacentral:lncRNA from 1 species